rnacentral:misc_RNA from 1 species
GAAAUGCGAUAAGUAGUGUGAAUUGCAGAAUUCAGUGAAUCAUCGAAUCUUUGAACGCACAUUGCGCCCUUUGGUAUUCCUUAGGGCAUGCCUGUUCGAGCGUCAUCUAAACCUUCAAGCCCUGCUUGGUGUUGGGUGCCUGUCCCGCCUCCGCGCGCGGACUCACAUCAAAUCCAUUGGCGGCCCCCGCGUCGGCCACGAGCGCAGCAGAAACGCGAACUCGUGAGCCCGUCCGGGCGGCUCCCAGAAGCUACACCCACCCAGUUUGACCUCGGAUCAGGUAGGGAUACCCGCUGAACUUAAGC